rnacentral:rRNA from 1 species
AUGGCUAUGGUUGUGGUCCUUGUGAGCGCUCAUUUACUUAUUCUCAGUGAUAAAUAUAGACCACUUUUCGUCCAUUUCCUCUUUAUUGUGAUAACCUCCACUGGAACUGGCAGGUGUACUUGCAGCACCGUCCGUCUUGGGCUGAGGGAGCCAGCGGAGCGGCACCUGGGCGUGCCCUCGACCCCCAACUCGGCACACAGAGCACAAAGGUGUAGAAGAGCGAUGACAGAAACUGGUGAUGAAGUGAUCAAAUGUACUAGGAAAAGAAAGGGGAGUCCUCUCCUACAGCCAUGCAUUUUCUCACGUCAAAUCCCCAAACGGGGUCGCUAUGAAUUUUUCUCCGGCCAUCCGCCAUUGCUCCAAGUCACUCCUUCUGUUGAUCACGUCUCUAACAUAGGAUCAUGGAGUGAAAAGGAGGUGGGCCAUGCAGAAGAAAAAAAGGCUUCAUGGGAGGCAGAGGCCCGUAGUCUGUCUGUGAUCGCCUCCCGGGUGGUCUACCCCGCCACACUGCUGGUCAUCCCACCAACCAUCCUUCUCAAUACCGAGAAGCUUGAGAGAUAUUUCCUUUGCUCUGGUUCAGAAAAGACGACGGGAGCAAAAUGCAAGGUGAAUUUGGAGAUUGUCUACCGGCCACUUCAGCAUGGGGGACUUGGGGUUCUCAAUAGGAACAAGUUAUGUGUGCCCUCCGGUUGCGAUGCCCGUGAUAUGAACGGAAGGAGCCCAACAAGAUAUGGGCGGGGAUGGGAAACCCAUGUCCAAGCCGAUGAGCUCACUGAGGACGACAUCCUAUGGAAGCAUACGGCUAAUGGGAUCUACUCGGGGGCAUCCGCAUACAAGGCACAAUUCUUAGGGAUGGUGCUCUCGCCCAUGGAUAAAAUGGUGUGGAAGGCUUGUUCUUUCCUUGGUUGGAUCUUCAAGAUUGGUUGGAUCUUCAAGAUAGAAUUUGGACCGCCUAUAGAUUGGCGUAGUGUGGGUAGACCAACUGUGAUCUUUGCCCUCUCUGCAGAAGAGUACAAGAAUGUUCAACUUGAAGGCCGAACAUGGCCAAUAAGACCAUUUAAUGACAUAGCUCAUGCUAUUAAUGACGAUGCACAUAUUCGUCUGCUCCCUCUCAAUCCAGGAUCCCUGGUGCCGCUCGCCAAGCCCAAAUGCUGCUCCUCGCAUGGAUCCUCUACAUAUAGGAUGAGCUCAAGGAAGGCUUUGGCUGAGCUUGGCUCACAUAGGCUCACUUCCAGGUUUAGUCAAGGCCUACCCCGCGAGGAGCGCAUGCUCUUGUACCAUAAUCCAUUGUGCUUGAUCGAUGCACUUCAAGUGGGCACCUCAAACAUGAUCCCCCUCCCCACUGAACAACCCCAUCUGUUCGGACAACGAACAUGGGAUAGCAAAUGCACACAUGCACGCUCUCGAGCACUUUGCCGGCCAUCUGAUUGUGGUGCACGAACUGCGGCGGACGGUUCAUGGCAGAAGAUAAUCAGUGCAAUUUUCUUGCCAUGCUUCAAAGAACCACAGGAGCUCCCUCUGCGUGUCACCCCAUGCGGCACUUGCAAGGAGCGGGACCGCCACAUGGAUGGACAGAGGAGAGACGAUGAUGUUGCGCAUUCCCUGGUUGCCAGUGGCAUGCUGACCAACCUCCCACGCGAGUGCCGACAUGCCGCCAUCACCUCGCCCGCGGGGUUUCCGGCAAUAGACGAGAGAGGGAGGGGAGGGAGCGGAGGGUCUUCGCCGACUUUGGAGGGGAGAGGGUCGCUGGCUCGGAGGGGAGAGACGCAACCCAAAGACACACCCAGCGCGUUGCCGCCGCAGCGACUCGAGAUCGAGAGGCGGAGGCCGUCGCGACCGGAGAUCCCCAAUCGGCGUCGUCGCUGCCGCAUCGUCCUCCAGCGCUCAAUUGGAGCGCACCGUGCGCACGGGACAAUUUCGGCCAUUGCGAUGCUCCGAUCUGCUGUUGGACUCGCUCUCCGGCAGUCGGCGCCGGCCGCUCGCUUCUGCGGCAAGGUCGGCCGCCGCAACCCUGCAUCCAACAUCACCACGAGCGGUAGCGGAAUUAUGACGCUAGCAGGAGGUUUGAAUUCAGCAAGGAAAACUUUGCCGGCUGGAAGGAAUUUGUUAGAGUUAGGCGCACAACCAUUUCAUGGUUUUAGAGAUAAUUUACUGGGAUUCAUGAGUACAAGCAAGGACAUACAUAGCACCGGUGUGGAAUUUAUGAUUGGCGCCUUUGCCUGCGGCAUAGCACUUCUGUUUAGGCACUAUAUGACUCCUCCCUACGAAAAGGAAUCGAGUAAUAGAAGCAUAACUGUAGCUCAGGUUCUCAAUGAUGCACUGUUGGGGUUGCUGGUUUGUGUUCAUUGGGAACAUCACAGAAACAGAGAGGCGUUGGUCCACGGUGUGGGUGACACCUACACCGACGUCGGGCUCGGCCUGCAUUGCACAUCGUGCCAGUAUACCUUGAUGUGCGUCAUUGCCUCCACCGAUGCAGCCGAAGCAGAAAGGAAGACUAGGAAGAGCGCAACGGGCGGCCAUAGCUGUUAG